UACAGAGGUCUCGAGCGUUAGGCGGAAUCACUGGGCUUAAAGCGUGUGUAGGCGGAUUGCUAAGUACCUUGUGAAAUCCCACGGCUUAACCGUGGAACUGCUUGGUAUACUGGCUGUCUUGAGCCACUUAGGGGCAACCGGAACAAACGGUGGAGCGGUGAAAUGCGUAGAUAAUCGUUUGGAACGCCAAUGGUGAAAACAGGUUGCUGGGAGUGUGCUGACGCUGAGACACGGAAAGCCCAGGGGAGCAAACGGG
rnacentral:rRNA from 1 species